CGCGUGAGGAACCUGCCUUUCAGAGGGGGACAACAGCUGGAAACGGCUGCUAAUACCGCAUAACACAUAGGUGUCGCAUAGCAUUUAUGUCAAAGAUUUAUCGCUGAGAGAUGGCCUCGCGUCUGAUUAGCUAGUUGGUAGGGUAACGGCCUACCAAGGCGACGAUCAGUAGCCGGACUGAGAGGUUGGCCGGCCACAUUGGGACUGAGAUACGGCCCAGACUCCUACGGAAGGCAGCAG
rnacentral:rRNA from 1 species